AUAUGCGAAGGAGCCUUCAGAUUUCUUCAGCCUCAAGCUCUAAGCGUCAUCAAGUAUGGUGGCCAAAUCUCUCUAUUGUCCACACCGUGAGCACACAAAGGCCGGUGCAUCACGUAAAGCAGCCUUUUGAGGGGCUGAAAGAGCAACAAGGACUGCUGCUAAAGGGUUUCUGUCUUCGGGUUUUGUUUCAUGCUUUCCAUCACAAUCGUGCCCAGCUGAGCCAGGGAGCGGGGGUUGGAGGAGCCUGCUGUACUUUUCCGCUUGAGCCACACCCCCUCUUUCCAAGCCUACUCAUUUCCUAGUUUUCCACAUGUAUGGUCAUCUCCUUUACUUAUCUCUAAACACUGUGGAUGAAGAACGCUGGGAGUGCAGAAAACGUUUUGGACUAUAACUGCACCCCUGGAUUGAGAAUGACAUGCUGUGGCAGGAAGAUGGGAUCACUGUUCAUGAAUGCAGGAGGCACCAGAACUGGACCAAGUCAUCAAUGAUGAGUUUGACAGUGAUGCACAACGAAGAUGUCAACACAGACCUUCUAAAUAUGACAGUACAUAAAGAAAAACAAAUUACAGAAAAUCAUCAUCAUCAUCAUCAUCAAAAUCAGGUAAUCAAACCUGUGCUUAUUAGCAUAUGUUAAAAACAAAGUCUGCUAUCCCAUUUACCGGGUUUAGUCAUGUGGCAUUCUGCAUAUUCCGGACUGUGGAAAGAGAGCUAAUUGGCUAGCCUAUUCUUUAGCAGGUAGGAAAGCUUGUUUACUAUUUCCUUACAUUCAAUAUGGGGCAUUUUAUGAAUGUGUGAACUGUCAUUAAAUUCUUAUAACUGAUAAAUUCUCUUACCAAUCAGUAGGUUCUCUUCGUUCAUUCCCUCCAGUGGCCUGGCCAGGGGCUCAUAAUGAGAAGCAUCCAGUGUUUCACCUUCUAAAGUCUACAAGACUCCCUUGACACUAUGCCCUAUAGGCUCCCCUCUAGCUUGAACUAACCACCCGCUGCAGUGGACAAGCCUUUCCGGAUCCUCCGGCCCAUCUACUGCCUGACCCUUUCCACGCUGCUCCACCCAACAAUACCACAUGCUCACUCUCUCAGUAGCUCAGCAACUUCCUCCACCAGCAAUGUGAAUGCUAAUGACCAGACCACACUAAAUCACAUACAGUAUAAAAAGCUUUUCACAUUCAAACAAAAUGCAGAGAGAGGUAGCUCAUCCUCCUGCUUUAAGGAAACAAGAAAACAUGAGCAACUGAGCCCAGGCUAUUUUACAAGAAAGAGUGGAGCUGGUUUUAGGCAGGUUGGUGUGCAGGUAGAAAUAUGAAGACUCAUUGAACCUGUUUUUUGUGAUUAAACCCAAUCCCUCCUCCAAGCAGUCAAUGUUGUCUUAAUAGCAUAGAACUUGCUCUCAUAUGUCAAUGCAUCAAAAGGAUGGGUUAGUAAAGACCUGGUCAUGGUGUUGUAAAUUGAUGUGUAUUUAAACCUUGAGACUGUUUACAUUUCAUCACGAGUGAAAUGCUCCAAGGUGGGACUUAAAAAUGUUCAGUCAAGUGGAGCAUACAUGUUUGUCAAGACAAAAUAAUGAAAAUUGAAAACCCAAGACUGAAAAAAAUAGCAAUUUUGCAAUCAGCACAAGAGAAAACCACCAGGUCUUUCUAUAAUGGAAAGAAUUACUUGUCUUGUGGAAAGAAGCAUAAAUAUUUUCAGCCUAAACUACAAACUUAGUUGUUAAUAAUAAUGGGAAAUUAAACCAGAGCAGCUAUAUGUCACCCUUGACCUUUAAGCACCCUUCUUCUAAUGUGGAUAAACUGCAUAAUAAACUAUGUUGUCUAUAACCUUGAAGUAGGCAGGAGAGAGGACAACUACUAAUUUAAUAAUAUGAAGGGAGCAUGGUGGAACAGCUGUAAAGGAUUGGGCUCACAGUUCUAACGACAAGGGUUCACAGGCCCUGCCUGUGUGGAGUUUGCAUGUUCUCCCCGUGCCUGUAUGGGUUUUCUCCGAGCACUCCGGUUUCCUCCCACAUCCCCAAAACAUGCAUUAAUUUGAGACUCUAAAUUGCCCCUAGGUGUGAUUGUGAGUGGGAUUUUUGUCUGUCUCCAUGUCCCUUAUGUUUGGCUGGCAACUAGUUCAGAGUGUACCCUGUCUCCUGCCUGUUGAUAGCUGGGAUAGGCUCCAGCACUCCCACAACCCAUAUAAAGGAUAAGCGGGUAAGAAAAUAUAUGGGUGGAUGUAUGAAGAUACAGGAUUCCCUCGCUACUUCGUGCUUCAAAUUUUGUGGCUUCAGAGGACCACCCUGAGAAAAAUGCAACCAUAUUGGCAUAUUGCAGGAAGAUGCAUUGAUACAAGGCACAUGAUUGGUCCCCCGGCACGACAUUGACCAAUGAGCGGAUGUGUGUAUUUACCUUGUGAGUUGAUUGGCUGCGGAUCAUCAAAGCCUGACCCAGCAACUUCCGUCCCACCCUUUUCUUUCCUUACGCCAAAACGCAGUGCUAAUGUGAAAGCUUCCUCCAAAGCAAUCAAGAGGAGGAGGAAAAGGAAGAUGAUAACAAUCUGCUAAAAAGUUAAACUUUUGGACAUGAUCCAAGGAGGCAGAAGUUAUGCUUUUGUGGCACUGCAUUAUGGCGCAAAUGAAUCCGUGGUGCACUACAUAAAAUCUGUCAAACCACUUCAGUAACUUUUAAUAAGGAAGUAAAAUGUGUGGUGACUCUGCAAAAUAAGAUAAUUGUUCAAAUGGAGGCUGUGUUAGCUAUGUGGAUAGGGGAAUGCAGAAAAACACCUCAAAAACGAUGAUGAAGUGGCUGAAGAAAGUGCUGAUGCAAGGAUGGAUUCACCUCCUCGAGGACAAGGCUUUUUGGCAAGCAAACGUUGGUUUUUCAAAAGCGUUCCGGCCUCAGAAGCUUGCCUCUGUAUGGUGAAGCUUCCUUCGUCGACAACGAUGCUGCUCAUCAUCAUGUGGAGGAAGAAUUUGUUAAAGACAAUGAUGACAUUAUUGUACAAGCUGUCGAGUUUAGCAAUUGUGUUAAACGAGGUCAUGACUUUGUACAGGGGAAUUUUGAACCAGAAGAAAAAGCAAAGACAACACCAUGUUUUUCUCAAAGAUAAAAACCUCAAUUACACCGUCAGCAACUCCAGCAGAAGAUUCUCCUAGUAAGGAAUGUAAAUAUGUUAAUGUGCAGCACAAGGUUUUAAUAAGUAAAGCUUUAACUA